rnacentral:tRNA from 1 species
GAGGGUACAGCUCAGCAGUAGAGCACAUGCUUAGCAUGCACGAGGUCCUGGGUUCAAUCCCCAGUGUCUCCA